rnacentral:tRNA from 1 species
CGAGGCUGAGGCUGUCGAGGCUGAGGUUGUCGAGGCUGAGGUUGUCGAGGAGUAAUCCCGGCUGGCUGCAAAGGUUGAAACUCUUUCGGCCUUGA